rnacentral:rRNA from 1 species
GGCCGUUCGGGUUAGUAAAGCUACUUUCAGUAGGGAGGAAGGUAGUGUAGUUAACACCUGCACUUAUUUGACGUUACCUACAGAAAGAAGCACCGGACUAACUCCGUGCCAGCAGCCGCGGUAAUACGGGAGGGUGCGAGCGUUAAGUCGGUAAAUUACGUGGGACGUAAAGCGCAUGCAGGCGGCCUAGUUAAGUCAGAUGUAGAAGCCCGGGGCUUAACCUCGGAAUUGCAUUUGAAACUGGCAGGCUAGAGUCUUGUAGAGGGGGUAGAAUUUCAGGUGUAGCGGUGAAAAUGCGUAGAGAUCUGAAGGAAUACCAGUGGCGAAGGCGGCCCCCUGGACAAAGACUGACGCUCAGAUGCGAAAGCGUGGGGAGCAAACAGGAUUAGAUACCCUGGUAG